CCAGCCGCCGCCUCCAGUCCUCUUCCACAUCGGGAUCCCUCCCGAUCCUUCUCCGCCCAACCAGAUCGCAGCUGCCACCGCUCCUCCUCGAUCCAGCCAUCCAACCAGCCCCUGCAAACCACCACGCCGACAGCCUCCCCGUUUUGCUUCACAGCAGCCGCUCGGGCACCGGGCCCCGCUCCCCUGGAUCCCCUCGCAGCCGAGCCACCAAUCAGUCGGCGCUCCCAAGCCCAAGCUCCUGAGCACCUCGUGCUCGUCCUCCUCGCCCGAGCCUCCUUCCAGGGCAGCAAAGGACCGAACCAGCACAGCCGCGCUUGAGCGCUCCCGGGGCCGAGCUCCUCGAACACCGCGCCGCCCCGGCGAACCUGCCAGCCGGCGACCCCGUCCUCAGGCCGGCCCCGUCGCGCCACCUCUUCCUUCCCUUCCUCCUCUGGUUCUUCUCCCUCUCACUCCCUCCACCUCUCUGUUUUCUCUCACAGGGAGAACAUGAUGUGCCGGCCUCCAUGGAUUUCGCACCGGAGUCCCCGACCGCGCCUCGUUCUUGGAUGCAGGAGCACGAGCUCCCUCCUCCUUGUUGCACGCAUCGCUCGCCGAGCCGUCGAGCCGCCCGAGUACCUCCUCCAGUUCGUAGCCCCGGCCACCAAAGCUCUCACCGCCGACGAGCCUUGCCAAUCCCCCCGCCAGGCACCGCCGCCGGAGUGCCGUACCUCGCCGCCUUAUCGCCCCACCUGCCGGAUCCGCCCCUUCCCCGCCGUCCGCCGGUGUCCUGCUUCUCUGGAGCCGCAGCGCCGUCCCCUGCUUCACGAAUGAGAUGAGUGCAACGCUCCUGCUUCGUUGACCUCGACUGCCCGAGCCGGCCUUCUGCUGCUGUUGACCACCUGCCCAAGGCCCAGUUCGCCCCGGCCCAAUUCCGUAGCGCGAGCCGGAUCUGGCCUCAAGGCCAAUGUGAGACGCCCUCCAGAUCCCCUCUUCCCGUUGAGCCAACAGGAUUCGGCCCAUGUAGUAUUUUUUUCUCUCGGGACGAAUUUAGCUUUUAUCCAGUGUUUUACAGAUUUGCAGAAAAACCCUCCAUGUUCGUGCAUUUAAUAACUCAUCAUCCGUCCACCGGAUUAAAAUGUUUUAUA